GAUUUUUUAAAUUGCUGUGGUAUUUUGACUAUACAAAGGUAUUGAAAUAAGACUUUAAUUGAGUGCUAAAAGAAUGGAUUAACGGAAAAAUUCUUUUUUAAUUUCAAAAAUUGAAGUUAUUUUUGUCAGUGAAGAAACUACAAUAAAAAUUAAGGACAAGAAGACCCUAAGAAUUUUUAAUAAUUUUAAAAAAGUUUUUUUUAAAUUAUUUUAAUUGGGGCGAUUAACAAAAAUAAGAAACUUUAUUUUUCCGAAAAAAUGAACCAUUAAUAAUGGUCAUAUGAAAAAAAUACUCUAGGGAUAACAGCGUAAA
rnacentral:rRNA from 1 species